rnacentral:rRNA from 1 species
UAAAAACUUAAAAUUUAAAAGACUUGACGGUACUUCAUAUCAACCUAGAGGAGCCUGUCUAAUAACCGAUGAUCCACGAUUAACCCCACCCCCUCUAGCCUCACAGUCUAUAUACCGCCGUCGCCAGCUUACCUUAUGAAAGAAACAAAGUGAGCCAAAUAGUACUACACUAGCACGACAGGUCGAGGUGUAACUAAUGAAGGGGGCCAGGAUGGGCUACAUUUUCUAACCUAGAAAAAACGAACAGACCAUGAAAAUAGAAACUGAAGGCGGAUUUAGCAGUAAGAUAAGAACAAAAUACUUAACCGAAAUUAACGCAAUGAAGUGCGC